rnacentral:rRNA from 2 species
GGCUACUACAUCCAAGGAAGGCAGCAGGCGCGCAAAUUACCCAAUCCCGACUCGGGGAGGUAGUGACAAUAAAUACUGAUACAGGGCUCUUUUGGGUCUUGUAAUUGGAAUGAGUACAAUUUAAUUCCCUUAACGAGGAACAAUUGGAGGGCAAGUCUGGUGCCAGCAGCCGCGGUAAUUCCAGCUCCAAUAGCGUAUAUUAAAGUUGUUGCAGUUAAAAAGCUCGUAGUUGAACCUUGGGCCUGGCUGGCCGGUCCGCCUCACCGCGUGCACUGGUCCGGCCGGGCCUUUCCCUCUGGGGAGCCGCAUGCCCUUCACUGGGCGUGUCGGGGAACCAGGACUUUUACUUUGAAAAAAUUAGAGUGUUCAAAGCAGGCUUAUGCUCGGAUACAUUAGCAUGGAAUAAUAGAAUAGGACGUGUGGUUCUAUUUUGUUGGUUUCUAGGACCGCCGUAAUGAUUAAUAGGGACAGUCGGGGGCAUCAGU